rnacentral:rRNA from 1 species
AUUGAACGCUGGCGGAAUGCUUUACACAUGCAAGUCGAACGGCAGCACGGACUUCGGUCUGGUGGCGAGUGGCGAACGGGUGAGUCAUGUAUCGGAACGUGCCCAGUCGUGGGGGAUAACGUAGUGAAAAUUACGCUAAUACCGCAUACGAGCUAUGGAUGAAAGCGGGGGAUCGCAAGACCCCGCGCGAUUGGAGCGGGCGAUAUCAGAUUAGGUAGUUUGGGUGGUAAAGGCACACCAAGCCAAAGAUCUGUAGCUGGUGUGAGAGGACGACCAGCCAAACUGGAACUGAGACACGGUCCAGACUCCUACGUGAGGCAGCAGUGGGGAAUUUUGGACAAUGGGCGAAAGCCUGAUCCAGCCAUUCCGCGUGCAGGAUGAAGGCCCUCGGGUUGUAAACUGCUUUUGUACAGAACGAAAAGGUUUCUACUAAUACUAGGAGCUCAUGACUGUACUGUAAGAAUAAGCACCGGCUAACUACGUGCCAGCAGCCGCCGUAA